CGCAUCUGUGCAUGCAGCAUAUCAAUAAGCGGAGGAAAAGAAACUAACAAGGAUUCCCCUAGUAACGGCGAGUGAAGCGGGAAGAGCUCAAAUUUGAAAUCUUAAAGGGUUUCCCUUUACGAAUUGUAGUUUAAAGAAGUGUUUUCUGUUGAGGUUUUGGUAAAAGUUCUUUGGAAUAGGACAUCAUAGAGGGUGAGAAUCCCGUAUUUGACCUUUACUUUCAACUUUGUGAUACACUUUCAAAGAGUCGGAUUGUUUGGGAAUGCAGUCCAAAAUGGGUGGUAAAUUUCAUCUAAAGCUAAAUAUUGGCGAGAGACCGAUAGCGAACAAGUACCGUGAGGGAAAGAUGAAAAGAACUUUGAAAAGAGAGUUAGACAGUACGUGAAAUUGUCAAAAGGGAAGCGUUUGACACCAGUGUUGUUUUUCUGAAAAUCAAUUAAAGAACUGUUUAUGCUAAGCUGUUUAGACUUUAUCAGCUAUCUGUUUAGUUUUAGGCUUUUCUUUAAUGCACUUUUCAGUUAACAAGUCAACAUCAAUUUCUUUUGCUGUAAAAAAGCUUGAGGAAGGUGGCUUGAGAUUCGUCUUAAGUGUUUAUAGCCUCUUGCCUAUGCAGUCGGAGAGAUUGAGGUCUGCAGCGUAGAUCCUUCGGGGCUAAAUGCAUUUGUGCUAAGUUAUAGCAUUUUAUAGACAACUUGUUGACUAUGACUUGUCUUGUAGCUUACUCGCUUAUGUUAUUUUACCUACGCUUAGGAUGUUGAACGCGCACAGAGUCUC
rnacentral:rRNA from 1 species